rnacentral:lncRNA from 1 species
CUGUGAAUCGGUGCUGUGGCCACUGCGAGAAGCAUGAUUCAUGAGCCAUGGGGGUGGACGCCGUGCCUUCCCUCCAGACAAUACAGUAUCAAUGCACCAUCCUGGAAACAGCGGCUCUCACCAUACACCGAAGCCACUGGCGCCUCGAUCAUGGACGUCUCAGUCUCCAGAACGAAUGGGGCUUGGCCCCCAGCUAGACGCGAGAUGGCUCGUUUUCAGAGAACAAAGGAGAGGGAAGAAGAUAGGUGUUCCUUGAACAUCUACUAUGUGAGAAACACCACCCAGGGCACUGCACCUGCCUGCUCACAAGGAAGAUACAUAAUGUACAGCCGAAUCUACAGUCUCCUAUUUUGUCAGCUGCUUGUGUUGAUUAAAACUUCAAUAAAGAUCCU